UCUCUCAUUCCUUCUUUUUUUUUGCUCCUAAUCACUCCUCUUUCACAACUCCUCUUCCAAUUCUCUCUCCUACGCCUCCUCUUCUUCCUCUUCUCUUUCAUCUCCUUCUCAGAUCCAAAGAAUAUCUACAACUUCCUCGAGUAUGGGCCGAUGUCAGACUUCAACUUUAAGGGGGAGAUCAUCCUGAGCAGAGCUUGUUC
rnacentral:lncRNA from 1 species